rnacentral:rRNA from 1 species
GACGAACGCUGGCGGCGUGCUUAACACAUGCAAGUCGAACGGAAAGACCCUGCUUUUGUGGGGUGCUCGAGUGGCGAACGGGUGAGUAACACGUGAGUAACCUGCCCUUGACUUUGGGAUAACUUCAGGAAACUGGGGCUAAUACCGGAUAGGAGCUCCUGCUGCAUGGUGGGGGUUGGAAAGUUUCGGCGGUUGGGGAUGGACUCGCGGCUUAUCAGCUUGUUGGUGGGGUAGUGGCUUACCAAGGCUUUGACGGGUAGCCGGCCUGAGAGGGUGACCGGCCACAUUGGGACGGAGAUACGGCCCAGACUCCUACGGGAGGCAGCAGUGGGGAAUAUUGCACAAUGGGCGGAAGCCUGAUGCAGCAACGCCGCGUGCGGGAUGACGGCCUUCGGGUUGUAAACCGCUUUCGCCUGUGACGAAGCGUGAGUGACGGUAAUGGGUAAAGAAGCACCGGCUAACUACG